rnacentral:rRNA from 1 species
GAUGAACGCUGGCGGCGUGCCUAAUACAUGCAAGUCGAGCGAACGGACGAGAAGCUUGCUUUUCUGAUGUUAGCGGCGGACGGGUGAGUCACGCGUGGAUAACCUACCUAUAAGACUGGGAUAACUUCGGGACACCGGAGCUAAUACCGGAUAAUAUUUUGAACCGCAUGGUUCAAAAGUGAGAGACGGUCUUGCUGUCACUUCUCGAUGGAUCCGCGCUGCAUUAGCUAGUUGUUAAGGUAACGGCGUACCAAGGCUACGAUGCAUAGCCGACCUGAGAGGGGGAUAGCCCACAUGGGAACUGAGCCACGGUCCAGACUCCUACGGGAGGCAGCAGUAGGGAACCUUACGCAAUGGGCGAAAGCCUGACGGAGCAACGCCGCGUGAGUGAUGAAGGUCUCCGGAUCGUAAAACUCUGUUAUGAGGGAAGAACAGAUGUGUAAGUAAAUGUGCACAUCUUGACGGUACCUAAUCAGAAAGCAACGGCUAACUACGUG